CUGAGAGCUCACACCCUUGUACAAACAUUACAAGACCUGUAAUAAGAAGAUUAAGCUGAGGAUGUUGGAAAAAAAAGAAAGGAAGGGAGAAUUAUUGAGUUAAAGCUGCAUGUGCAUACAUAGGAGACAGAGAGAGUGAGGGAGAGUAAUUUCCUGCGCUUGUAAGGAGGGCAUGGAGGUCUCUGGGGUGAGAGCAGUUUUGCAGUGUAGGGGAAAACAGUACAUGCCUCCAAGGAAUAUUUGCACUCAGCUCUCCUGGAGGAGCAGCCCUCGUGGGGAGUGGAUGCCACCAUAAACCUAAAGAAAGGAAGCUAUCUGUAACCCAGAAAAUAUAGGGAAAUAUUUUCCAUGCCACUCUGGGAGACCAGGAAGUUAUUUUUGGUCUCUGUAGCGCAUUGAGUGUAGUUGAGAGCCUGUGCAACAACAGCAGAGUUUUCAGCAGCUCCCAUUGUAUUUACUCCUACUGACCUUAUUACUAAUAGGUGCAAAAUGUGAAUUAUAACAGCAAAGAUGUAAUCGGAGAGGCUUGGAGACAGCUUGUCUGCUAGAGAUGAUCAGUUGUCAUGACAGAUGCUCUCACAUUGCUCCUUUUGAAGUGGAAUGUCAGGUAAAACAAGGACUUUGCUGCUUCUGUUGACUUCAGUAUAAUUUAGGGGAUAAAUGACUUCACCAGUUCCCUGGAUGUGGGAGGAGAGGACGCUUUUAUGAUUAUGAAGGAUAGAGAAAGUCAUGUUAUUGUGCUCCUGGUGAAAUGCAUUGAUAUUCUGAACAGCACACAGGCCAGGAGACUAAAUGUCAUUAUUAGCUAGUGUUUAUUAAGUCAUCACACAAGGCAGGGAUGCACCAGAGGCAAAGGAUCCAGAUCUUUCCUGAUUUACACCAGUUUAAACAACCUUGGUGGUGCUACACUCAUUCACACCAGCUCAGACUCUCUCCCAGAGUUUCCAUGAGGGGUAGCACCAGGGGCUUAAACCUUAUAGAUACUAUUUCAGCUCCUUCUUGGCUGAUAUGAUCAUGCUGGUUUUGCAGGGCAAAAAGCUGGAGCCUAUGUGAGUAACUACACAAAACUAAUGUCUUCUCUGUGUUGAGUAGCCUGGCCAAACGAGCAAGGACUGAGUGACUUCCUUUCCUAUAAAUGGGCCAGGGGAAAAAGAUCUGGUGCUCAGCAACAUGUGGUUUAUUACUGAUAGAGAACCAGUAUAUCAGUGCAGCCCUCCCAGUUGAGGAUGUAAUGGAGAGCUUGGCCAGGCAGAGAUUUUGCAGAGGGCUUCUGAACAGCUUGGAGACACAGACGUCUUCCAGGUCCCUCUGCCAGCCCCUUAUGCUGGUGAAAAUAGUCAGGGCUAUGAUCUGGGAAUGUGCUAGAGGAGGAAGUGAGUCUCUGGAAUUUUCAUGAGCUGAUCCUUUUCUUUCAUUCUCCUGUUUUGUCUCUGCUGUGAAAGCCUCUUUGAGACAGGGACUGCCACCGGCUGCGGGGCUGUACAGCAGGUAAGGGAAUGGUGGCAGUCUCGCCUCUGGAGACAGCUGAGGACGACGGUCUGAGCUUUAGUAGAAGGGAUGGAUGUAGCAACUAGUCUGGUAGAAACUCCAGGACAUAAAGGUUUAAAAGGGAAAUAAGCAAAGUCCAUGCUCCGUAAUGAUAAACACGCAUUUAUCUGUGUCCGUGUCUGUGGGUGGAUUUAUCAAAAGAUGGAAAAGAAGCAUUGCAAUCUGCAAGCGUCCGUGUGUCCAGAAGGACAGGGGGCAAAGGCACUGAUUAGCAGGGGCUGGGACCAGCAUGCAGUGAUACCAUUAUUGUCAAAUGUGUCAAUACUGAUGACUCUUUUUUUUUAAAGCAAGGGACUUGUUGUCAUUUUAACAGGACAAUUUUUGUUUUCCUUGACACUACCUGAUUUACAUCACAGCACCUGGAUCGAAGACUGAAGAGUUUUAGGCGGAGAUGAGAGUCAGCCAGGAGGAACAUUUUUCCAAAGUGCUAAAGAAAGAAAUAAUGAAGUGAACUGGGGAUUUAAAGCCUCAUGUGCUUUGAAAGAGCCCUGUGUCUCCUUUUGACCAGAGAAACGCAGUUCAACUAUCAGAUGCGUGGACCAGUGUAGAUGGUGAUGGGACCUCAGCGACCAAAGCUAGAUCCACAGAUAUAGCCCUGGUGACCUCCAGGUCCUGGUAUGCUGUGAAUGGUGUGGAUGAAGGGCACAAUUUGCAAGUAUUGUACCUCCCUGCUAUAUUGGCCACCUAUUACACAUGAAUGCUUCCUCUCUGCACAGAUAAGGUCUUGUGCUAGGCAUGCAGGUGCUUGCAAACAGCAUGAUUUCACAUAGACUGAAUAUGAGCUUUGCAACAGGGUAGCAGACUCUUCUUUGUAUUCCUACCAUUUUAUUAGUCUACAAAAACUCUACAUAUAUAUACUCUGACCGCUUUAAAAGGCUGUCAUGAGCACUCCUUAGCAAUUUCCUGUGGAAAUAGAAAGACGGAAGGGAAGCAAAUCAUAAAUGCUUAUAUAUGCCUGUUGUCUGGAUAAUCUUUACAUGCAGGAUGAGCUGAAACUCAAAUGCAAAUUCAUGGUGCUUGAUCCAGAGCCAGGGGAAAGCUCCAGUUCAAUUGCUUCAAGGUGCAUCUGAGUAGACAAUUUGAGGUUAACUGAGAUGAAGCCACCGCUAAUUUCACUGAUUGGUUAUAACCUUGGGCGGACUUGAACCUUCUCCCAGAACCAGAAUUUCAGCUGAAACACACUGGCAGCCUGUACUGCAGCAGAAGGGUGAACUCUCCAAGCAAAAUACUCUAGCUGGUGGGACCUUGCAGAAGCCGGAGUUUUAAGACAAAUGCACAAAGGCUUCCUUCAAACAAUGAGAUACUUGCUUCAUCUAAUGAAAUAGUUUCUGAUGAAGACAAGGCUUUUAUGGAGAUACAAAUCAGCUUGGAAGUUUCUGAGAAUACAGUUUCCAACCCAUGGGAAAUUUGAUUUAUAUAUAGAAGCAGAGGCAUAACUAACACUUAAGAAAAAUGCAGUAGCAGCUAUCACCUCCCUGUGAGUUUCCCUUCACAUGCUUGACAGUCCUCCUGAAGACACCCACCAUGUUCUCUGUUUUGGAUGCUACUUAUAUGUACACAGUGAUGCUUUGCUGGCUCUUGUACAGUCAACAAGCAAGGUUAUUUGGGACAUAGCUGGGCCUCUUCACAAAAGCCAUUUGCAACCUUUCCUGCCUUUAGCUGGGGUCAUCCUUUGCUGAUGAGGUUGACUUGGGUGCUGCCUCUUCUAGGAGCAAGGGAGCUGGCCUUUGUGUGCCCUCCCACCCCUUUUCUGCCCGUACAAAUGAUGUGUGAGCUAGGAUGUUCCACACUAUCACAGGCUGAAUUGUUAAUGCUCCCUUUAAAUGUUGUGGCCUGAGACUUGCCAACAAACCCAGAGCCUCACAGGACUCCCUUUUUCGCCUGACACCCCUGUCCCAUCCAUUCUGCUCCUCUUCCUGGGUGGAGGCAGCCGUAUUUGCCCUGCUCUGCAUGUCUCUGGCCUCCCUUCUUAUGGCUCUGGUACCAACUCAGACCUAAAGGUUAGGCUCAGCUCACCAGAUGGGUGUGAUUGGUAAGAGGAUUAGGUAAAUCCCAUGUUAGCAAAUGCAGGGGAGAGCGGAUACAGUCGAAGUGGGUGCCAGGUUUAUGUUGAAUUCAUCUCCACCCAGGAUGUAGACAGCACCCUACAAUUAGCCAGGUUAAUCCUUCCCACUAGGGUUUUCAGAACUCUUUCCCAAGUUGGGACAUCUUUGUUGAGGAAAGCCAUGGCAUAAGAAACCAGGCUGUGGAUUUGAAGCCCUAGCUAUCCUGCUCUAGCUCUUCGCACUGUGGCUUUUGCAUGAGGAAUCUUUUGUGUGGAUUAGUUUAAUAACCUUCCAAAAUAAACUAAAGCUGAGAGAAACCUGUGGUGUGGAAUAAAGAACUAGCAUAGAGCCAUUAUGGGGGAGCUCAUCUGUGCAGAGCCACCUUUGCAAGUUAAACUAGACUAACCAAAGGGGUGAAUUUAAAGUGGGCUCAUUAAGCUGGGUCAAAGUGAGUGAAGCUACAUAGAAAUAAAGUUGUUUUAAUUAUUACUCAUAGUGUCAACACAGCGAUUUAAUGUGGUUUAAGAACGGUGGUAAGAAUGUGCCCCCAUGCAAAGCAAAGCACAAAGUCUAUAAGGAUAGGAAAAUGUUUUAGGGUAGAGGACACAAAUGGCCCCAGGGCCCUGGUGGACAACAGUGCCAGAGCUGUAUCAUUUCUCCAUAAGGUUAUUUAGUCAGAUGUAGUCAUUCCCUACCCUGCCUCUAUGGAGUCUAGAUUUCUUCUGCAAGGCUGGGGGUCCUCUGUCUGUGAAAUAGCAGGAGCCUCCAGGACACAACACCGCUUUGUUAAAAGGGAAAGGGGAAAGAGGGCAAUUUCUGGAGCUGCCUCGCUGCUGUGUGCAACCAUUUCUGAUCAUGAUAUCACUAUGUUUUUCUGCAUUGACUUGUCACUCAGAAACAAAUCAAAUCACCAGCCGGGCGAGCUCCCUGCCUCUGUAGGCUGGGUUGUAAAAGAGGCUGCUUAUGUCAGAGAUUUGCUCUGUUUUGGGCUUGUGCGAAUUGCUGUGUCACCGUUUCAUUGUGGCUCCAUGUUUUGAAAUAUGCUCUGCAGCUGCUGCUCCUUCUCCUGUUUUAUUUGGAGUGAAGCUGCAAGGAGUCAUCGCGGGCCAUUUUCAGUGUUCUUCCUUUGUGGCAGUUUGCCCGAGAAUGAGAUGAGUCACAGGCAGGUUAUAUGUCCUGUCCAUGUGAGUGUGAAUUAGAGGGAAGGCUCCAAGAUUACUGUUGAUUUUCUCUCUGAAUGGCCCACUGAACUGUGCAUUUCACGGGGGCUGGAGGCUGGGAUGGCCUUCUAGCCCUGUGAGUCCUAGUUAAAGGGGGAUGAGCUAUUGUGUUCUCCUCUGCCAGCUGGUAGCAAAACCUGUUAGGUCUGCCUGACCUGCCAAAUUGUUAGGGUUCAAAUGGAUUAGGAAAGGAACGUCAGAAAAUGUUCCCAGCAUAUGGAUGCCUCAUGGCCUUGCAGCAAACUAUGUGUCACGGAGAGAGGUAUGUGCAAUCAGGGAUAGAAUAGGAGAUAAUGGAAGUAUUUGCUCCCUUGCUGCAUUCUGAGCCAUGAAAAUUUCUGUUUCUAAAUGAAACCAAGGAGUGAUUAACUAUUGGGAGUUACAAUCCAGCCUCCAGAGUAUUGCACAUAGUCUCAGGGAGUUCAGACUGUCUUGGAUGAUCAGGGAAAAGGGAGAUCAGUUUUGUGAGAGGAGCUUGUGGAUCACCAAGGCUGAAAGAUGCUCCAAUGGCUCUUUGUAAGUACACUGGGGCAUAAGAGGCAUUUAUGGUAAAAAAUAGUGCUAAUGGAAGAUCAGAUGGGAAUAAAUUGGACAUGGGCAUCUUUGGGCUGGGAAGGAAAAUAAUAUUUCUAAGCCUCAGGGACAUCCUAGGAAAGCUUUCCAAUGAGAGGCACCAAACCUAUUUCAAUGUGGAACGGGUAAAGUUGAGAAAGGGACUGCACGAUAGUGAAAGAGAUGAAAAUAGGCUGGAUGAGACUUUGGGAUUUGUUGAUAUCUCCAGCAAGGCAUUGCAAAGGGGUGAUCAUUGCUGUCAUUUUCGCUUUGCUACACACUAUUCUCACAGUUUUGAAUUAUUCCCAUGUUUCAGAGUUUCUGCCAGGAGGAAGGAAACCUUUCCUCCUUGAUGCGGAACUUGGCUUUAGGUUUGUUUUGUUUUGGGGGCUCUUUUCUCUCCGUUCUCUGGAAGCAGUGUACUGGCCUAAGUGAAAAGAGGCUGUUGUGGGGGGGGGACAAGCGCUCCACUUGUGCUCUUAAUGGGAAAGAGAAAUAGUUUGGGUGCCCUCCUUGCUUAUGCAUCCAGGUUUUAUCCCACAGUCAGAUACAGUGUCAGAAAGGAACUGGGCUGGGUCCUUCCUUCUCUGUAGCAUAAGGGUGACAUCAUCCGACAGGGACCCAAAACCUUGGCAACACUUUUGCUGUCUUCUGCUUUUUUGCAACAGCACAUUGUUGUUUGAGGCAUUCGAUCCUUUGUAUUAAAAAUUUCACCUUGA